UAGGGAAUCUUCCGCAAUGGGCGAAAGCCUGACGGAGCAACGCCGCGUGAGUGAUGAAGGUCUUCGGAUCGUAAAACUCUGUUAUUAGGGAAGAACAACUGUGUAAGUAACUAUGCACGUCUUGACGGUACCUAAUCAGAAAGCCACGGCUAACUACGUGCCAGCAGCCGCGGUAAUACGUAGGUGGCAAGCGUUAUCCGGAAUUAUUGGGCGUAAAGCGCGCGUAGGCGGUUUUUUAAGUCUGAUGUGAAAGCCCACGGCUCAACCGUGGAGGGUCAGUGGAAACUGGAAAACUUGAGUGCAGAAGAGGAAAGUGGAAUUCCAUGGGUAGCGGUGAAAUGCGCAGAGAUAUGGAGGAACACCAGUGGCGAAGGCGACGUUCUGGUCUGUAACUGACGCUGAUGUGCGAAAGCGUGGGGAUCAAACAGG
rnacentral:rRNA from 1 species